rnacentral:tRNA from 1 species
CGGGCCAUAGUAUAAUGGUAGUACGAGUCGAUGGGGUCGAUUUAGCGGGCGUUCGAUUCGCCCUGGCCCGA